UAGGGGGCAAGCGUUAUCCGGAUUUACUGGGUGUAAAGGGAGCGCAGGCGGUCUGGCAAGUCUGGUGUGAAAGCCCGGGGCUCAACCCCGGGACAGCAUUGGAAACUGUCAGACUGGAGUGUCGGAGGGGCAAGUGGAAUUCCUAGUGUAGCGGUGAAAUGCGUAGAUAUUAGGAGGAACACCAGUGGCGAAGGCGGCCUGCUGGACGACAACUGACGCUGAGGCUCGAAAGCGUGGGGAGCAAA
rnacentral:rRNA from 1 species